rnacentral:rRNA from 1 species
UACAGAGGUCUCAAGCGUUGUUCGGAUUCACUGGGCGUAAAGGGUGCGUAGGUGGUGAGGUAAGUCGGAUGUGAAAUCUCCGAGCUCAACUCGGAAAUGGCAUUGGAAACUACCUUGCUAGAGGAUUGGAGGGGAGACUGGAAUGCUUGGUGUAGCAGUGAAAUGCGUAGAUAUCAAGCGGAACACCAGUGGCGAAGGCGAGUCUCUGGACAAUUCCUGACGCUGAGGCACGAAAGCCAGGGGAGCAAACGGG